rnacentral:tRNA from 1 species
UUCUCUUUUGCCCAUGGCCUAGUGGUAGUUGGAUAAGGCUUUGAGACCAAUAGGUCAUGGGUUCGAUUCCCACAAGAGGAG